CGGUGGGCUCGGUCGGCGACGGCUCCGGGUCGUCGCCGUCGGCCUGGAUGCCGAGUUCGAGACCCUGCUCGUCGGC
rnacentral:tRNA from 2 species